rnacentral:rRNA from 1 species
UACGUAGGGUGCAAGCGUUGUCCGGAAUUAUUGGGCGUAAAGAGCUCGUAGGCGGUCUGUCGCGUCGGCUGUGAAAACCCGAGGCUCAACCUCGGGCCUGCAGUCGAUACGGGCAAACUAGAGUACUGCAGGGGAGACUGGAAUUCCUGGUGUAGCGGUGAAAUGCGCAGAUAUCAGGAGGAACACCCGUGGCUAAGGCGGCUCUCUAGUACGGUACUGACGCUGAGACGCGAAAGCGUGGGGAGCGAACAGG